rnacentral:lncRNA from 1 species
GGGAGAGUCGCCUCGAUCUCUCGGUAUGUCGUUGUUCAUAGCUCUAUCCAUCUCGCUUCCUUGCGACUGGGACCGGUCGACCUCCUCUUACGGUACCUGAAAAUCUGGUCUUUCUUGUUGAUCGAGGCAAUUUGCCGGGAUUUGAAUUGUUCUUGAGAAUCAAUUGCGAACCUUUGCGUCGGUCAUUCGAAUCUCGUUCUUGAUUGGCUUUUCGAACACUCCGGUAGUAAACCCUCGAUCUCUGCGGCGCGAAGAUCUUGAUUCUCGGAUCACCAACCUUUGCACCCGCUCGAAAUCCUCGUUCCCUUUGUCUACUCCUCUGUUUCCUUUUCGUGGGG